rnacentral:rRNA from 1 species
UACGAAGGGGGCUAGCGUUGCUCGGAUUGACUGGGCGUAAAGGGCGCGUAGGCGGCGGACACAGUCAGACGUGAAAUUCCUGGGCUCAACCUGGGGGCUGCGUUUGAUACAUGUUCGCUUGAGUUCGGAAGAGGGUCGUGGAAUUCCCAGUGUAGAGGUGAAAUUCGUAGAUAUUGGGAAGAACACCGGUGGCGAAGGCGGCGACCUGGUCCGAUACUGACGCUGAGGCGCGAAAGCGUGGGGAGCAAACAG